UACGAGGGGGGCGAGCGUUGUUCGGAAUUAUUGGGCGUAAAGGGUGCGUAGGCGGUUUGGUAAGUCUUAUGUGAAAUCUACAGGCUCAACUUGUAGUCUGCAUGAGAAACUGCCGGGCUUGAGUAUGGGAGAGGUGAGUGGAAUUCCUGGUGUAGCGGUGAAAUGCGUAGAUAUCAGAAGGAACACCUGUGGCGAAAGCGGCUCACUGGACCAUAACUGACGCUGAGGCGCGAAAGCUAGGGGAGCAAACAGG
rnacentral:rRNA from 1 species